rnacentral:rRNA from 1 species
GCCGCGGUAAUACGGAGGGUGCAAGCGUUAAUCGGAAUUACUGGGCGUAAAGCGCACGCAGGCGGUUUGUUAAGUCAGAUGUGAAAUCCCCGGGCUCAACCUGGGAACUGCAUUUGAAACUGGCAAGCUAGAGUCUCGUAGAGGGGGGUAGAAUUCCAGGUGUAGCGGUGAAAUGCGUAGAGAUCUGGAGGAAUACCGGCGGCGAAGGCGGCCCCCUGGACGAAGACUGACGCUCAGGUGCGAAAGCGUGGGGAGCAAACAGGAUUAGAUACCCUGGUAGUCCACGCUGUAAACGAUGUCGAUUUGGAGGUUGUGCCCUUGAGGCGUGGCUUCCGGAGCUAACGCGUUAAAUCGACCGCCUGGGGAGUACGGCCGCAAGGUUAAA